AGUGAACGCUGGCGGUAGGCCUAACACAUGCAAGUCGAACGGCAGCACAGUAAGAGCUUGCUCUUACGGGUGGCGAGUGGCGGACGGGUGAGGAAUACAUCGGAAUCUACUUUUUCGUGGGGGAUAACGUAGGGAAACUUACGCUAAUACCGCAUACGACCCACGGGUGAAAGCAGGGGAUCUUCGGACCUUGCGCGAUUGAAUGAGCCGAUGUCGGAGUAGCUAGUUGGCGGGGUAAAGGCCCACCAAGGCGACGAUCCGUAGCUGGUCUGAGAGGAUGAUCAGCCACACUGGAACUGAGACACGGUCCAGACUCCUACGGGAGGCAGCAGUGGGGAAUAUUGGACAAUGGGCGCAAGCCUGAUCCAGCCAUACCGCGUGGGUGAAGAAGGCCUUCGGGUUGUAAAGCCCUUUUGUUGGGAAAGAAAAGCAGCAGGUUAAUACCCCGCUGUUCUGACGGUACCCAAAGAAUAAGCACCGGCUAACUUCGUG
rnacentral:rRNA from 1 species